rnacentral:rRNA from 1 species
AUUGAACGCUGGCGGCAGGCCUAACACAUGCAAGUCGAACGGUAACAGGAAGACGCUUGCUUCUUUGCUGACGAGUGGCGGGCGGGUGAGUCAUGUCUGGGACACUGCCUGAUGGAGGGGGAUAACUACUGGAAACGGUAGCUAAUACCGCAUAACGUCGCAAGCCCAAAGAGGGGGACCUUCGGGCCUCUUGCCAUCGGCUGUGCCCAGAUGGGAUUCGCUAGUAGGUGGGGUAACGGCUCACCUAGGCGACGAUCCCUAGCUGGUCUGAGAGGAUGACCAGCCACACUGGAACUGAGACACGGUCCAGACUCCUACGGGAGGCAGCAGUGGGGAAUAUUGCACAAUGGGCGCAAGCCUGAUGCAGCCAUGCCGCGUGUAUGAAGAAGGCCUUCGGGUUGUAAAGUACUUUCAGCGGGGAGGAAGGGAGUAAAGUUAAUACCUGUGCUCAUUGACGGUACCCGCAGAAGAAGCACCGGCUAACUCCGUG